GGUCCGUGCCCUUGGGGCUCCGUGUCCUGUCGCCUUUUCUCGGCUGCCGGGUGUGCAUCCGGGGAACAUGGCGGCGGCGAGGGGCUGGUGGCGGUUGCUUGUGGGGACCGCGGCAAUAGCCCGGGGAGCCGGGCGACCCUCGGCGUUAUUGCUGCCCGUGAGAAGGGAGAGCGCCGCGGCCGACACGCGCCCCACUGUCAGACCACGGAAUGAUGUGGCCCACAAGCAGCUCUCAGCUUUUGGAGAGUAUGUAGCUGAAAUCCUGCCCAAGUAUGUCCAACAAGUUCAGGUGUCCUGCUUCAAUGAAUUAGAGAUCUGUAUCCAUCCUGAUGGAGUCAUCCCAGUGCUGACUUUCCUCAGGGAUCACACCAACGCACAAUUCAGAUCCUUGGCUGACUUAACGGCAGUGGAUAUCCCAACCCGGCAAAACCGUUUUGAGAUUGUCUACAACUUGCUGUCCCUGCACUUCAACUCACGAAUCCGUGUGAAGACCUAUACAGAUGAGCUGACACCCAUAGAGUCCACUGUCUCUGUGUAUAAGGCAGCCAACUGGUAUGAGAGGGAGGUCUGGGACAUGUUUGGAGUCUUCUUUGCUAACCACCCUGACCUAAGAAGGAUCCUGACAGACUAUGGCUUUGAGGGACAUCCUUUCCGGAAGGAUUUCCCCCUGUCUGGCUAUGUUGAGGAAACCUUGAGGACACACCUAAGUCUCUCCCCAAGGCCUGAAAGUCGAGGAUCAUGUUACCCUGCCCUGGAUCCCUGGGACGGCAGCUGACGGGCAAGACACUAAAUGUUCAGCCCUGGAGAAUGGCCACUGAGGCAGAUCCAGUAGCAUGUGACUGCAGGACUCUUAUGAAGAAUUUCAGUGGUUUACUUUGCCACUCAUGUGCUGCAGGUUUUUUGUCAGCAGGAAGAUGGUCUGUUGUAUGCAUACGUGAAAUUUCUAGCAAAGCAAAUUUUAGAAAUGUUGAGACGUGUGGCGGUCCAGCCCUACUCCUUCAGCACCCAAAUGCUCCUCUUUUCUCAGUGUUUUGUAUAUUCCCAUUUUGCUCUCAAGCUACUCUGGCCAGAGCUACUUCCCUCUCCUUCCUUUCACUCACCCUUGCUGUCUCCCUUACCUGGUUUGCCUCUUCACCAGAGCACCUGAUUGCCCCCUACAUUAUCCAACUGAUCCUCCAAUAACAAGGGAAAAAAAACUCAAACCCACUGCCAUCGCGUCCAUUCUAACUCAUAGCAACCCACAGGACAGAGUAGAGUUGCCCCACAGGGUUUCCAAAGCUAUAAUUUUUAUGGAAGCAGACUACCACAUCUUUCUUCCUGCAGAGCAGCUGGUAGAGUCGAACCACUGACCUUUUGGUUAACAGCAGAAUGCAUUAACUACUGCACCACCAGGGCUCCUCAAAAACAAGAAAAGCCAUGCCAAAUUUACUCAGUGCCUUAGAGCUUAUCAGUGAUACUGUCAAGGCUACAAGCCCUGAACUUGUCUACUUGCCGGUUUAGGUUUACUCUUUUCAGCCACAGACUCUUGUCCCUAAUCCUGGGCAAAUGCUCGCCAUUUCCUUACAAGAGUGUGUGGAUGGAUCAGCAGGAGUCAGCUCUGCUGGACACUACGCUAUGACGAUGAGGUGAAGCGGGUGGUGGCCGAGCCUGUGGAGUUGGCGCAAGAGUUCCGCAAGUUCGACCUGAACAGCCCCUGGGAGGCAUUCCCUGCCUACCGCGAGCCCCCUGAGAGUC